AAUAAGUAACACAAAGGAUGACUGAGGGUUUCAAAUUUCCUGUUUACAGCCUCCAUCCAGUGGAGAUCUCUCUGGGAGAAAUGUAAGGCUGGCAGCAGAUUAACAAGGGUUCAGUUAUUUUACAAGGGAGAACAAUGGUUCCUCUGACCACUUUUGAUUCAUUCCAUCCCUGGUUUCCAUGGAGCAUCAGAAGAGGAUCUAUGUGUGUGUCAAUAGAGUGGCCGGAGAGAAGAGGCCCAGAGCAAACAAGGAAGGAAGCAUCCGCCUGGAACCUUUGGCAACGUCUGGAGACAUUGUUGUUUGUCACAACUGAGGAGGUGAGGGGAGUGCUUCUGGCAUCUAGCAGGAACAUUCUACUGUGUGCACAACAGCCUCUGUGAUGGUUAACAUCCAGUGUCACCAUGACACUGGAUUGAAGGAUGCAAAGUAUUGUUCCUGGGUGUGUCUGUGAGGGUGUUGACAAAGGAGGUUAACAUUCGAGUUGGUGGACUGGGAAAGGCAGACUCACCCUCAAUCUGGGUGGCACCAUCUAAUCAGCGCCAUCAUGGCCAGGAUAAAAACAGGCAGAAGAAUGUGAAAAGACUAGACCAGCUGAGUCUCCCAGCCUACAUCUUUUUCAUGUGCUGGAUACUUCCUUCCCUCGAACAUCAGACUCCCAGCUUCGGGAUUAUUGGACCUUUGACCACCAGCUGAAGCCUGCACGGUCAGCUUCCCUACUUUUGAGGUUUUGGAAGUCAGACUGGCUUCCUUGCUCCUCAGCUUGCAGAUGGCCUAUUGUGAGACCUCAUCUUGUGAUCACGGUGGCAAUAAAGAAAGUCAUCACAAAUUUCUGAGCACCACUUUUCCAGAGCAAACAGAAAAAAAUUCUGGGUGGCCCCUGCUAUAGGAAUGUGAAACUAGAAGAAUGUGUCCCCAGAGACACCCAGACUUGUAACAACCAAGAAUAAGGUUUGGCACCAAGCAGUUCUGCUAACUAAGGAGUCUGCUUCAUAAUAAACAUUCUUGCUUCUAUGCAUUGAUUUCUUCCUUCUUUUGGCAAUAUAUGGAUAUACAACUACACACUCCCAAGGCAGAUACACUUGCCUUGACUUGAACAGGUAACAGACCUAUGCUGAACUACUGCCAGUUACUCUGCUGCCAGGAAAGACCCACAGAGUGAGAAGCCAACAAGCCACACCAAGGGAUCCCAAAAGUAGAGACCGAACUCAAUUUAUUUGUAAGUCAUUAUCACUCAAACAGCUAUCAAUGGCCCUUUAAAACAUGCAAUUGGUAUCACUAUUCCUAGGAAGUGUUAUGACCAAAGCACACAGGUGGUUUAUUUUUCUCUGCAAGGCUUGGAAGGUUUCCUGAACUUUGUGAAGAAGAAGGUGACCUAACAUAUGCUUGCCCUUCUGCUGGGAGUAGAGGUUAUUCUCUGGACUGCAGGCUAACAGCAGCCACCAUUUAUAGGAUGCUGUAUUCUGUACCUUUUUUGUGAUAGGAUCUCACUAUGUUGCCCAGGCUGGAGUGCAGUGUAGUACAGUCAAGAGAUACUCCCACCUCAGACUCCCAAGUAGCUGGGACUAUAGGCAUGUGUCUCUAUGCCUGGCUAAUUUAUUUUUUAAAUUUUUAGUAGAGAUGAGGGUCUCCUACGUACUUGGCACUUCAAAUGGAUUAUCUUGAGGAAGGAGAUAAUCCUCAAGCUUCUGAGAGCUCUUCCCCCCGGACUUCUACACUGCAUUUCAAUAGGAGAAAUAAAGGCCCCAGAUCCGGGCACCACCCUUAAUCACACUCCUAUUAAUCACAGGCAUGGUAUGGAGGAAUCUUUCUGGAAGGCACUGUUUUUACGUGAACACGAUCACACCCCAACCUAAGUCAUGUACCCCACGCCUACUUAAUGGAUCAAGACCCUUUCACAUGUAAUUUCUAGAGUUGUAAGCCCAGGACCCUUUCACAUGUAAUUUCUAGAGUUGUAAGCCUUUAAAAGGACAGGUAUUUUCUUUCUUUCUUUUUUUUUUUUAUGGAUAGAAGAUAGACAGGAGGAGGGGAAAGAACGUUUUACGUCUUUGGUACUCAAAGUAUAUACAGUCUACAGACUAGUGGCAUCCCCAUCACCUGGGAACAUGUUAGAAAUGCAGGAAAUUUGUAUACACAUUGCGGUUUGAGUUCAUUCUGUGGACCAUUGGAAUCCAUCUGAGAAUUGCAAAGAAGUCCAGUAUUAGAGAACAGGAAGAGUAGUGAUAUAUUUGAAGCUAGAGAGAAGGCAGGAUUUUAUGGUUACCCUGUAUGUGUAUGUGAGGGCAAGUGUAAGUGCUUGGGGGAGGGAUUCUUAGUCACAGUGCACUGGGAAAGCAUUGAUAGGGUUUCUGAGGAAGAAUGACAUAAUCAGGUUUGCUUUAAGAUCUCACAGUCCUUGUCUUCUCAGUUGUGUUUGACAGAGUUGAUCACUUAUUAUUUUUUUGUUUAGAAAGAAAGAGAAAGGGGGAGAGAGAACAAGAGUCUUGCUCUAUUGUCUAGGCUGGAAUGCAAUCCAAAAAUAGGUAUCAAUAACCUCCUUUAUGCCAAUAAUUGUGCUUAACAGCAGAGACAGGAAGGAAUAAGGAAGGAAAAUAACAGCCAACCAAUAUUUCAUUUAAGUCUGUGAAAUGCCAUGCAAAUGCUGAAGAGUGAUUUACUUCCAAUUAUGUGGUCACUUUCAAAAUAGGUGUAAUGUGAUACUGAGAAAAAUGUAUGUUCUGUGGACCUGGGGUGAAGAAUUCUAUAUUCACUGAGUUUACUUGUUCCAGGUCUGAGUUCAAAUCAUAGAUAUCCCUGUUAAUUUUCUAUCUCAUUGAUCCAUCAAGUAUUAACAAUGUGGUGUCAAAGUCUCCCGUUAUUAUUGUGGGGGAGUCCAAGUCUCUUUAUAAGUCAUUAAGAACUUGUCUUAUGUAUCUGGGUGCUCCUAUAUUGGGUGCAUAUAUAUUUAUGAUCAUUGACUCCUGUUGUUGCAUUGAUCCUUUUGCUAUUAUGUAAUGUCCUUCUUUGUUUCUUUUAGUCUUUGUUACUAUUAAAGUCUAUUUGGGCAGAGACGAAAGUUACAACUCCUGUUUUUUUUUUUUUGCUCUCCAUUUGAUUGGUAAGUCUUCCACCAACCCUUUGAUUCUUUGUGUGUCCUUGCUUAUGAGAUGGAUCUGGAUACAGCAUACCAAUGGGUUUUGACUUUUUAUUCAAUUUGCCUGUGUGUGUCUUUGAUUGGGGCAUUUAAUCCAUUUAAAUUUAGGAUUGCGGAGGACUCAAGAUGGCGCUGUGAGAACAACCCAGGAUUGGAGCUCUCCUUGAAUCCGCGGAGAGGUGAUCGCAUGUGGAUAAAAGACUGGAAUGUAGUCCCCCUGAAGCCACAGUGGAAAGGACCCCAGUCCAUGAUCCUGACCACUCCCACAGCCAUAAAGGUGGAGGGAAUCCCAGCCUGGAUCCACCACAGCCACGCAAAACCUGCAGCAACUUGGGAAGCUAAACCUAGACCCAGACAACAACUGCAGAAUCACCUUAAGAAGGACAACCAUCCUUGCUCCAGCCACAUCUGGAGGCUGGCUGGUCCACACAUGGCGAAAGUCAUUGUGGGACUUACUCUCCUUAAAAAUUUGAACUUACAUAGUAGGGAUAUUAACUGAUUUCGGAGAAUGCUCUCAGUGUGUGUACCAGGUUACUGAGGUAGGAGGGAAAGUUGCUGUCCUUCUUUUGUUCUACAGUUAUUAUGAAUGUGCAGGGACACAAAAGGGAAUCUGUUUAUAUAAUGGUACUCAGUAAAAGGUGUGUAGCCCAGGGGAUGGACAACCUGAUGUCUGCUAUGAUCCAUCAGAACCCCUAUGCAUACAAUUUUUGAAAUUAAACUCCUAACAGGGCAAAGGAACAGCCCUACUAAGUUAAUAGCUAAAAUAGAGGAUCAGGAAAAUGAGAAUGAGAGUAAGAGUGAGAACUCUCACUAAUGUUAUAGGUGAGAUUCUCAAAGUGAGGAAGGAGACUCUUAAUCUGCUUAAGCUUCUAGGAGCCCUUCCCCCUAGACUUCUACAUUGCAUUUCAAUAGGAGAAGUAAAGGCCGGAAGACUUGGGCUCCACCCUUAAUUGCACACCUAUAGAUUGCAGGCAUAGUAUGGAUGGAGGAAUCUUUCUGGAAGGUGUUGUUUUUACUUAAAUAUGAUCACACCCCCACCUAAGUCACAUACCCCUUACCUACUUAAUGGAUCAAUACCCUUUAACAUGUAAUUUCUAGAGUUGUAAGCCCAAGACCCUUUCACAUGUAAUUUCUAGAGUUGUAAGCCUUUAAAAAGGCAGGGAUUUUCUUUGUUAGGGGAGCUUGCCUGUUAGGCAUCUAUGCCUUCACAGUCCUGGCCGAAUAAAUCAUCACUUCCUUCCCAGUUUGGUGUUCAAGAGGUUUGUUUUGUGGCAUUUCCUGCUUCCAUCUCACUUAGUUUUCUCUAGAAAUAAUAUUUCUCUAGAAAUAAUAGUACAUAUAUAUUCUAUGAAAUAUGUACUAUUAUUCCCUAUUUUGGUACUGAAAAAAAACAAAAUAUCUCAUAAAUUAAGAGAUUAAGCACAGGAUUUGCCCAAGGUCAGAUAGCUAUCAAUGCUGGAGCUGAUGGGGCAAUUCCCCAGCCUGAACUUUUAAUAAAAGUAGUAUACUACUUCCUCCUGCCAGAGGCUAACAUGAGGUUUCCAACUCUCAUCCCUGUCAGAAAAAGGAAAAAGAAAAUUAAUACUCACUGCUGACGCUUCAAGCGAAUAGUUGAAAAAAGUGAUUCAGGCAGUAAUCUCAUUCUCAACAGCUUUAUUGAGAUAUAAUUCAUGUAUUUUAUAAUUCACCCAUUUAACAUAUACAAUUUUGUGGUUUGUAGUAUAUUCGCAGAGUUGUGCAACCAUCACCACCAUUGGUUUUAAAAUAUUUUCAUUAUCCUCAAAAGAAACCCCAUUGCUAUUAGCAGUCACCCCCCAUUCCUCCAUCUCCCUCAGUCCCAUACAGUAUUGACUCUACUUUCUAUGUCUAUAUAUUUGCCUAUUCUGAAAUUUCAUAUAGAAUCAUAUAUUUGGUCUUUUGUGAAUAACUUCUUUCAGUGACUACUGAUGGGAUUCAAGAUAUGCUACCCCAAAAUAUGACUGUAGGGGACAGAAUAUGCCACCCCAAAAUAUGCAUCUUUAGCAUAAUUGUUUUGAGCUGAUUAUCUGGAGAAACUGCAAAUACAGGAGAAGCACUGAAAACAAGAAAAAUUACCCUUUUGUAAAAUAAAUUUACAUUUAUAAAGGAAAUUGCCAUUUGCAGGGCUGUCUCCUUCCUAUAUCAGGAAGAGAAGGAUGACUCUCAAUCAUUAGAAACUAUUUUAUGUUAUAAAUGGAGAAGGCACCAACUUAAAUCUGCGUAACAACUUUACCUUUGUUUACUAUGCUUUUCCUGGGUCUCUCCCCAUAACUAGCCUUCCCUUCCAUGGUAUUUAUGCCUGAACUCAAAGCCACCUCUUUGGGAUUUACUUAUAUUCCCUUAGGUAUCCCAUGUACACAUGAGGUAUGCAUGUUAAUAAACUUCUGUUAUUCUCUUGAUAAUCUGUCUUUGUUAAAAGGGUCUGUCUCAAUUGAGAACUCUCAAGGGUAAUUAUUUUUCAGGAUCCCAGUUUUCUAAGUUUGGGUUCAAAGAUAGAACUGGAUUCAAAUGAUAAAAUUAUACCUAUUUAUAAGAGAUAACAUUAAGUGAAAAAAGUAGAAUGCAAAACUCUCUAAAUAUAGUUAAACUAAAUAUAGCCCAAGAAGGAUUCUGUACUUCUAUAUUUGAGUCCUUAUGGAUGAACUGUAACCUAACCUAAUAGGUAGACAAGGUUGAAAACUUAGGAGUAUGCACCUAUAACAAUCACUGAGUUUUGGCCAAUCCCAGCAGCCAUACUUCAACCAGUCAUAUACUACUGAGGGUUCAAGCUGUGUUCAAAUAAGGCAAGUGUUGUACCAAUCCAGCUGUUUCUGUACCUCACUUCUGAUUUCUGUAUGUCACUUAAUUUCUUUUGGUCUAUAAAUUUGUUCUGACCACAAGGCAUCCCUGGAUCUCUGAAUCUUGUCAUUCUGGGGGCUGCCCGAUUCACAAAUCAUUCGUUGUUCAAUUAGACUCCUUUAAAUUUGAUUCAGCUGAAGUUUUUGUUUAAACAAAUGGUAUUCAGAAGUGGGAGUCUGAAGUACAGCUUCUAACGACCCCCAGGAGUGCUGAGUGAACAAGUAAGGUGCCUGCAGGACCCACCUGUGUCCUUUAAUCUCUCAAGAGUGGCUGGGGAGUGUAAGUUUUUUCUUGGAUUUCAGAGCUCCACGGAUUUGCAUUUUGAGCUCUCCGAGUUUCUUUGAGCAAAUUUCUGAUCCAAUCUAGGUUUGGAAGUCAUGACAGAAACUGGGCUGGGUCCAGGAAUGGAUUUGAUCCGGUAAUUAACUGGCUGGGAUCCAGUUAGAGGCCUCUUACAUCUGACUGGGUCAGAAAGAAACUGACAGCAAAUGGUAAUAGUUUAGGGGUAUAAAAUUUGGCUCUUUAAGAUUUGCAAGGAGUUUUUUUGACCCCUUUGUUUCAUUUUUCUUGCCCAUUUAGGUAGGAAAAAUCAUUGGCUAAGUUAAUCAAGGGAAUCUGAGAGCAAAGCCAAUGUUUUAUGUAAAGAUGGGAUCCUUAAUUUCUGAAAAACUGAGUUCCUUCUGGCUUAUACAUUAGGCACAGAAGGCAGCGAAGUCUUAGAGAAAAUGGUGAAAUCUUGGUAAAGGCAACUUACAGUAGAACGUUCUGAAUAAAUAACAAUGCAUUGAACUGCAUUUACAAAUGAGAGCCCCCCCAAAAUUAUAUCUGCUACUCUUUCAGCUUAGUUACUAUCCUGAUCCAAAGGAAACAGACUGCAGCACCAAUUGGCUGACUUUGGAUAAGUAAUGGGGUACAUUUUACCUGAGUAAAAGAUGGGAUUGGGGUAUAGGUCCUUCCCUCAGUAAAGUCCUUCUUGGUUGAAAAUGGAUUAAAGGUGACAGGGUCCAACCAGGGGUAAGUUUGAGGCUUGCCAGUUCAAUAUUGGGUGCUAGGCAGAGUGGCUAAUGUCUAGGUUUAGUCACACGUAUUUUGCUCUGGCCAGAAUGAAAAAUGUUAAUUGGGUUACGCCAUGUAACCCCUUGGGUGGCAACCUGUAAAACUGAGAGGCUUUUGCCUAUGGAACCACAAAACAAAAAAUAUGAUUUUCCUUUAUGAUACGGCUUGGCCCCCAGGGUUAUAGUGUGGCAAGUGGGGUAACUAGGGCCUCUCAGGGAAAAGGAACCCAGAAGUCUGGCCUGCCGGCAAAACGGUAACAAUUUCUUACCAGUCAGACCCUGACGUUUCUCUCUCCGUGCAAACUCGUUAAAUGAAUUGUAAAAGUCACUGUUUAUCUCCUCUAUAAAGUUUGGAUUAAUACAAAAAAAAGACAUCUGAGACCGGUCUUAAGCUGUAGUGAAUCUGGUGUGCUUUGCGUCUUUCUGUAUUGUUCUGCCAUAAAGUGGGUUACCUCAGGAUAAAAUGCGUGCCUAGGACCCCGGAAGUCUGCUGUUCAAGACGGCCCAGAAAACUGGUCCAUUAUGUCCUUGGAGCUCGACCUUGUAACCAUGUGGCUGUGCUUUCUCUUUUCACAAUGGCGGCCCAGGUUCAGGGCUCACUUCUUGGCUUAGGGAAUGAAUACUUUCUGGUUUGAGAUCUGCGUGACCUUGACCAUUGAUUCUCUUCCCCUCCAUGAACCAUCUUAAAUUUUCUUUUUCUGAGCACAGAAAUUGGCCAUUUGGCCUAGCCAAAGUUGGGUAAUAAAAGAUUUAAAAUGACUUUUUUAAAAAGAGUGCUAUGAUUAAAUAUCAGCUUAAUUAAAAGCAGAUAUUCAAGCUCUAACAGCCUGGGACUCCCUGGGAAAAACAGGGUGUGCCAGAGACCACAUUUUGGGGGAAAAAAACCAAAACCUGUUUUCCUCAUGGAACCCCAGGAAUUGGAAAUGGAUAUAUCCACCCAAAAUCUAAGGUUCUGUUCUCUUUGGGAUCCAGGAGCUGAAAUAAAAAUGGGACCCUUAAUUUGUGGGGACCUGUUUUGCCUUCCUGCUGUGCCUGCUUAUUACACUGGACCCUAGAAACUACAUGCUGUCCUGGCCCUGUUCUUCUAAGGACUCUACCCUAAAGCCAGUAAUCCAAUUUAAGAAAAUUUUAAAACUGGCAAAUGAAAAAUCUUACAACUACUGGAUCCUCUGUGUAGUAUACAUGUAUUGCAUAUGUAAUGUUUAUAUGAAAUAGCUCUAAUUAAUAGGCUUUAAGAAUAAUAAGUGCCUAUUUUGUCAGAAAAGUAAAAACUGUAAUGUUUUAGUUCACAUAACUUUAGUAAUCUUUGGGAAAUAAAAACUGCUUCCUAAGCUUUUGAAAUUGUUCAGUUUACCUACUUUGGAGCAUUAGAUUGUAGGUAAGGCCUGGGGACAUGUGGAAUUAGCCAUGCCCCCUAGCUAUGCAAAGAAGAUUAUAAAGAAAAGAGAUUUUAUAUAAGAAAGAUUUUGUAUGGGUAAUUCUUGUCCUAAAGUAAAAUAAGUGGUUGUUUAAAAAGAGAGAUGUUUAGAAUAAGUCAGAAAAUCCAUGCAUGAUAUAAAUGGCCGUGUUAAAUAAUGAAAGGAUUCAUGAAAGGACAUUUAUGCACCAAAAGCAAAAGUUGCUAAGAGUUAGCAUUAUAACAUGUGAUUGAGAUGACUGAAAAAAUAGUUUUACAAGCAAGGUGUGUGAGAAGAAUGAAAUGUGUAUUUAGUGAAAGAUUAUAAGGCAUGGGAAUGUAAAUUUUUGCCUGGUUUAGAGGGUUAAAGGAUUGUUUUAAAUUAGAUAAGAAUAAGCUAAAGGCUUGAACAAGUUGUAAAAGGUCUGUAAAAAUUAAUCUUGUAAAAAAAUUCUGUGUAUGAACACACUGACUAAAUUUAAAACACUAUUUUCCAGUUUUUUCAUAAAUUGAAUACAGAAAUAAAAGCACAAACAGGGUUUUUGUAAAGCAUUGAUCUGCUCUUUAAUGAAAAUUUGUAAAGGGCUAUAAAAGGUUUAUGAGAAUCUCCUUAUGGUCAAACUGAUUAAGAUUGGAAAGAUUAAGAUUGGACAAUCUUAAUCUUAAGAUUAUCCUUUGUUUUUAAGGUUUUAUUAAAAAUUGGAGUUGAUUUGUCUGUAAGAUUUUACUAAAAAUUAAUA